AUUGAACGCUGGCGGCAGGCCUAACACAUGCCAGUCGAGCGGAUGAAGGGAGCUUGCUCCUGGAUUCAGCGGCGGACGGGUGAGUAAUGCCUAGGAAUCUGCCUGGUAGUGGGGGAUAACGUCCGGAAACGGGCGCUAAUACCGCAUACGUCCUGAGGGAGAAAGUGGGGGAUCUUCGGACCUCACGCUAUCAGAUGAGCCUAGGUCGGAUUAGCUAGUUGGUGGGGUAAAGGCCUACCAAGGCGACGAUCCGUAACUGGUCUGAGAGGAUGAUCAGUCAAACUGGAACUGAGACACGGUCCAGACUCCUACGGGAGGCAACAGUGGGGAAUAUUGGACAAUGGGCGAAAGCCUGAUCCAGCCAUGCCACGUGUGUGAAGAAGGUCUUCGGAUUGUAAAGCACUUUUAGUUGGGAGGAAGGGCAGUAAGUUAAUACCUUGCUGUUUUGACGUUACCAACAGAAUAAGCACCGGCUAACUUCGUG
rnacentral:rRNA from 1 species